AGCGAACGCUGGCGGCAGGCUUAACACAUGCAAGUCGAGCGGAGAUGAGGUGCUUGCACCUUAUCUUAGCGGCGGACGGGUGAGUAAUGCUUAGGAAUCUGCCUAUUAGUGGGGGACAACAUUCCGAAAGGAAUGCUAAUACCGCAUACGCCCUAAGGGGGAAAGCAGGGGAUCUUCGGACCUUGCGCUAAUAGAUGAGCCUAAGUCGGAUUAGCUAGUUGGUGGGGUAAAGGCCUACCAAGGCGACGAUCUGUAGCGGGUCUGAGAGGAUGAUCCGCCACACUGGGACUGAGACACGGCACAGACUCCUACGGGAGGCAGCAGUGGGGAAUAUUGGACAAUGGGGGGAACCCUGAUCCAGUCAUGCCGCGUGUGUGAAGAAGGCCUUUUGGUUGUAAAGCACUUUAAGCGGGGAGGAGGCUCUCUUAGUUAAUACCUAGGAAGAGUGGACGUUACUCGCAGAAUAAGCACCGGCUAACUCUGUGCCAGCAGCCGCCGCUGUAA
rnacentral:rRNA from 1 species